CGGACGGGUGAGUAACGCGUGGGUAACCUGCCUUAUACAGGGGGAUAACAGUCAGAAAUGGCUGCUAAUACCGCAUAAGCGCACAGAGCUGCAUGGCUCGGUGUGAAAAACUCCGGUGGUAUAAGAUGGACCCGCGUCUGAUUAGGUAGUUGGUGGGGUAACGGCCUACCAAGCCAACGAUCAGUAGCCGACCUGAGAGGGUGACCGGCCACAUUGGGACUGAGACACGGCCCAA
rnacentral:rRNA from 1 species